GGAGAAGUACCCAAGUGGUUAUAAGGGGGCGCACUCGAAAUGCGCUAGGACGGGCAACCGUUGCGUGAGUUCGAAUCUCAUCUUCUCCUCCA
rnacentral:tRNA from 4 species